rfam:Triticum aestivum genome assembly, contig: Triticum_aestivum_CS42_TGACv1_scaffold_196097_3AL
UAUGUACUCCCUCCGUCCGGAAACCGGAAAUACUUGUCAUCAAAAUGAAUAAAAAGAGAUGUAUCUAGAACUAAAAUACAUCUAGAUACAUCCCCAUUUAUCCAGUUUGAUGACAAGUAUUUCCGGACGGAGGGAGUAGAAU